rnacentral:rRNA from 2 species
UACGUAGGGGGCGAGCGUUAUCCGGAAUUACUGGGCGUAAAGGGUGCGUAGGCGGCCUUUUAAGUCAGAUGUGAAAGGCUACGGCUUAACCGUAGUUAGCAUUUGAAACUAGAAGGCUUGAGUGCAGGAGAGGAGAGUGGAAUUCCUAGUGUAGCGGUGAAAUGCGUAGAUAUUAGGAGGAACACCAGUGGCGAAGGCGACUCUCUGGACUGCAACUGACGCUGAGGCACGAAAGCGUGGGGAGCAAACAGG